ACAAGUCUCUCUAUGGACUUAAACAAGCACCGAGAGCGUGGUUUAAAAGGCUUUCCCAGCAACUUGUUGAUAUUAGUUUCACUGAAUCAAAGGUUGAUUACUCAUUAUUCAUACAUUGUAAUGAUGACAUUAAGUUGUUUAUAUUGGUCUAUGUAGAUGAUAUACUCAUCACAGGUUUAGAUCAAGCUGCUGUAAAUCAUGUAAUUAAUGAACUCAGACAGAGUUUCCAACUCAAAGAUCUAGGUGAGCUCAGCUAUUUUCUUGGUGUUCAGGCCGUUAGGGACAAGACAUGUCUCCAUCUGAGGUAACCAAAGUACAUUUCUGACCUAUUGGAAAGCACGAAGAUAAUUGGAGCAAAGCCCCUUGUAUCUCCUAAUACUUCAGGGACGAAGCUGUCCUUAACACAAGGCCUACUGCUACUGAUCCAACAGAGUAUAGGCGUGUUGUAGGAGCUCUUCAAUACUGCACUAUUUCAGGACCUGACAUAUCUUAUGUUGUUAAUCAGUUAUGUCAGUUUAUGCACAGUCCAAGAGAACCUCACUGGAUGGCUGUCAAACGGGUUCUUAGAUAUCUGAAAGGAACCAUUGAUUUUGGUCUCCAAUACUCUCCUUCAGGCAUGUAUUUUAAUGCAUUUUGUGACUCGGACUGGGCUGGGAAUCCUGAUGACAGAAAGAGCACAAGUGGCUAUGGCAUUUUCAUAGGACGGAACUUGAUUUCCUGGUCAGCCAAGAAGCAGAAAGUUGUGUCCCGUUCAAGCACAAAAGCUGAGUACAGAAGUAUGGCCUUGACUACAGCUGAGAUGUACUGGAUUCGAAUGUUAAUCAAGGAAUUACAGGUUGUGAUCCACACUCCUGCAGUGCUAUCGCGUGAUAACAUUAGAGCAAUUGCCUUGGCAACUAAUCUUGUCUUUCAUGCAAUGACUAAACACGUUGAAGUUGAUUACCACUUCAUCCUAGAAAAGGUGGUCAAUGGAGAUAUUCAAGUUAAACACAUCUCUACACGAGAUCAACUAGCAGAUGUGUUUACAAAGGGUCAAUCUGCAGCUAGAUUCCAGUUUCUUAGACACAAACUGAAAGUCUGUUUGCUCCCCAUUAGUUUGCAGGGGAGUGUUAGAGUACCACCACAUGUGACCAAAGUUGGUGAAUCAGCCGAGAAAAGAGGACCAGAUUCUACAGCAGAAUUAUGCACAUCAGCUCCUACCUGUA
rnacentral:lncRNA from 1 species